AGCAGCCGCGGUAAUUCCAGCUCCAAUAGCGUAUAUUAAAGUUGUUGCAGUUAAAAAGCUCGUAGUUGAAUUUCGAGACCGGCUUAUUGGUCGUGCUUUUGUACGUACUGGUAUAAUCGGUUUCUCCUUUCUGACGAACUAUAAUGCCAUUAAUUUGGUGUUAUAGGGAAUCAGGACUGUUACUUUGAAAAAAUUAGAGCGUUUAAAGCAGGCUCACGCUUGAAUACAUUAGCAUGGAAUAACGGAAUAGGACGUUUGAUUCUAUUUUGUUGGUUUCUAGGAUCGACGUAAUGAUUAAUAGGGAUAGUUGGGGGCAUUAGUAUUCAAUUGUCAGAGGUGAAAUUCUUGGAUUUAUUGAAGACUAACUACUGCGAAAGCAUUUGCCAAGGAUGUUUUCAUUAAUCAAGAACGAAAGUUAGGGAUCGAAGACGAUCAGAUACCGUCGUAGUCUUAACCAUAAACUAUGCCGACUAGGGAUCGGAUGAUGUUAAUUUUUAAUGACUCAUUCGGCGCCUUACGG
rnacentral:rRNA from 1 species